UUUCAUUUAAAUUAAGCCUCCAUUCUGUUCCUUUACCCAUAGGGCGAGUGGAUGUCUUUAACAUGCAAGAGGAAAUGUGGAGCUAUCAGGGCUGCCCGUCUUAAAGCACAGACUGAGCAGUAGUAUAAAACUCCAACAUUA